CAGCCGCCGCGGUAAUACGAACUGUGCGAACGUUAUUCGGAAUCACUGGGCUUAAAGGGUGCGUAGGCGGCUUUGUAGGUCAGGUGUGAAAGCCCACGGCUCAACCGUGGAAUGGCGCUUGAAACCACAAAGCUUGAGGGAGAUAGAGGAGAGCGGAACUGAUGGUGGAGCGGUGAAAUGCGUUGAUAUCAUCAGGAACACCGGUGGCGAAAGCGGCUCUCUGGAUCUCUUCUGACGCUCAGGCACGAAAGCUAGGGGAGCGAACGGGAUUAGAUACCCCGGUAGUCCUAGCUGUAAACGAUGAGUACUAGUCCGUGGGAACUUCCACAUUUUCUCGAACGUAGCGAAAGUGUUAAGUACUCCGCCUGGGGAGUAUGUUCGCAAGGCUGAAACUCAAAGGAAUUGACGGGGGCUCACACAAGCGGUGGAGGAUGUGGCUUAAUUCGAGAAUACGCGAAGAACCUUACCUAGAUUUAGCAUGUUUGGGAAAGUCUGUGAAAGCAGAACGUGCCUUUCGGGGAACCCUUACGUAGGUGCUGCAUGGCUGUCGUCAGCUCGUGUCGUGAGAUGUCGGGUUAAGUCCCUUAACGAGCGAAACCCUUGUCCUUAGUUGCCAGCGAGUAAUGUCGGGGACUCUAAGGAGACUGCCGGUGUUAAACCGGGGGAAGGUGGGGAUGACGUCAAGUCCUCAUGGCCUUUAUAUCUAGGGCUGCACACGUCUUACAAUGCACUAUACAAAGCGAUGCGAAAUCGUGAGAUCAAGCAAACCGCAUAAAGUAGUGCCUAGUUCGGAUUGCAGGCUGAAAUUCGCCUGCAUGAAGCCGGAAUCGCUAGUAAUCGCGGGUCAGCAUACCGCGGUGAAUGUGUUCCUGAGCCUUGUACACACCGCCCGUCAAGCCACGAAAGUUGGGGGGGCCCGAAGUCGCAAAUCUAACUCUUUGAGAGGAUAGCGCCGAAGGUCAACUCGAUGAUUGGGACUAAGUCGUAACAAGGUAGCCGUA
rnacentral:rRNA from 1 species